rnacentral:rRNA from 1 species
UACAGAGGUCUCAAGCGUUGUCCGGAUUUAUUGGGCGUAAAGAGCGUGUAGGCGGCCAGGUAGGUCUGCUGUGAAAACUCGAGGCUUAACCUCGAGAUGUCGGCGGAAACCAUCUGGCUAGAGUCCGGAAGAGGAGAGUGGAAUUCCUGGUGUAGCGGUGAAAUGCGCAGAUAUCAGGAAGAACACCCGUGGCGAAGGCGGCUCUCUGGGACGGUACUGACGCUGAGACGCGAAAGCGUGGGGAGCGAACAGG